GUCCAGACUCCUACGGGAGGCAGCAGUGAGGAAUAUUGGUCAAUGGCCGAGAGGCUGAACCAGCCAAGUCGCGUGAGGGAAGACGGCCCUACGGGUUGUAAACCUCUUUUGUCGGGGAGCAAAGCGAGUCACGUGUGACUCAUUGAGAGUACCCGAAGAAAAAGCAUCGGCUAACUCCGUGCCAGCAGCCGCGGUAAUACGGAGGAUGCGAGCGUUAUCCGGAUUUAUUGGGUUUAAAGGGUGCGUAGGCGGGCUAUUAAGUCAGCGGUAAAAGGGGGGGGCUCACCCCCCGCCCGCCGUUGAAACUGGCAGUCUCGAGUUGGAGAGAAGUAUGCGGAAUGCGCGGUGUAGCGGUGAAAUGCAUAGAUAUCGCGCAGAACUCCGAUUGCGAAGGCAGCAUGCCGGCUCCACACUGACGCUGAGGCACGAAAGCGUGGGUAUCGAACAGGAUUAGAUACCCCCGUA
rnacentral:rRNA from 1 species